AGUGAACGCUGGCGGUAGGCCUAACACAUGCAAGUCGAACGGCAGCACAGUAAGAGCUUGCUCUUACGGGUGGCGAGUGGCGGACGGGUGAGGAAUACAUCGGAAUCUACUUUUUCGUGGGGGAUAACGUAGGGAAACUUACGCUAAUACCGCAUACGACCUACGGGUGAAAGCAGGGGAUCUUCGGACCUUGCGCGAUUGAAUGAGCCGAUGUCGGAUUAGCUAGUUGGCGGGGUAAAGGCCCACCAAGGCGACGAUCCGUAGCUGGUCUGAGAGGAUAAUCAGCCACACUGGAACUGAGACACGGUCCAGACUCCUACGGGAGGCAGCAGUGGGGAAUAUUGGACAAUGGGCGCAAGCCUGAUCCAGCCAUACCGCGUGGGUGAAGAAGGCCUUCGGGUUGUAAAGCCCUUUUGUUGGGAAAGAAAAGCAGCAGGUUAAUACCCCGCUGUUCUGACGGUACCCAAAGAAUAAACACCGGCUAACUGCGU
rnacentral:rRNA from 1 species